GAGUUUGAUCCUGGCUCAGGAUGAACGCUGGCGGCGUGCCUAAUACAUGCAAGUCGAGCGAACAGACGAGGAGCUUGCUCCUCUGACGUUAGCGGCGGACGGGUGAGUAACACGUGGAUAACCUACCUAUAAGACUGGGAUAACUUCGGGAAACCGGAGCUAAUACCGAAUAAUAUAUUGAACCGCAUGGUUCAAUAGUGAAAAACGGUUUUGCUGUCACUUAUAGAUGGAUCCGCGCCGCAUUAGCUAGUUGGUAGGGUAACGGCUUACCAAGGCGACGAUGCGUAGCCGACCUGAGAGGGUGAUCGGCCACACUGGAACUGAGACACGGUCCAGACUCCUACGGGAGGCAGCAGUAGGGAAUCUUCCGCAAUGGGCGAAAGCCUGACGGAGCAACGCCGCGUGAGUGAUGAAGGUCUUCGGAUCGUAAAACUCUGUUAUUAGGGAAGAACAAAUGUGUAAGUAACUAUGCACGUCUUGACGGUACCUAAUCAGAAAGCCACGGCUAACUACGUGCCAGCCGCC
rnacentral:rRNA from 1 species